rnacentral:pre_miRNA from 1 species
UUGCUCUCAAAGUGGCUGUGAAAUGCGUCCUUUCGUAGGAGCUCAAUAUCCUUUCCGCAUAUCACAGCCAGCUUUGAAGAGCGUCA